GUCCUUGCGGCGAGCCAACGGGCCGCCCGCAGGGAAAAGAAAGGGAAAGGGUGCUCGGGUGGUCGUUCCGACGGGAGGCAUCGGCUGACGAUCCUAUCCGGGGCAUUUCGACAAACGGGUCCCGCUUACUGUUAUAUGAACAGGAAGGCAUGGUGGAAUGACAAGCGGCAAGCGCAGCGUGGAAACCAAGAGGGACUGAAAUCUAGAUGAGGAUUGUGAGAAAGGUGCGUUUAUUGUCGAUAUUGGUGCUUGAGCAGUUUGGAUCCUAUUCAGCUUGUUGAUGUUUUCACCGGGCUCAACCCAUGUUACAAGGUAUCAAGCAUGUCUUUAAUUUCUUGAUUCGUGUUAUUUAAUAAUGAAGUUUGAUAAAUUUGGAACAAAGAUUAAUUAGAUAUUAUUUAUAUUAUAUUUUAAUAU